GGUAGGCGGAAUGAGUAAUGUAGCGGUGAAAUGCUUAGAUAUUACUCAGAACACCGAUUGCGUAGGCAGCUUACCAAGCCAUCACUGACGCUGAGGCACGAAAGCGUGGGUAGCAAACAGGAUUAGAUACCCUGGUAGUCCACGCCGUAAACGUUGAUUACUCGUUGUUGGCAAUACACAGUCAGCGACUGAGCAAAAGCAUUAAGUAAUCCACCUGGGGAGUACGUCAGCAAUGAUGAAACUCAAAGGAAUUGACGGGGGCCCGCACAAGCGGAGGAACAUGUGGUUUAAUUCGAUGAUACGCGAGGAACCUUACCUGGGCUUAAAUGUUAAGUGAUCGACCGGGAGACCGGUUUUUCCUUCGGGACACUUUACAAGGUGCUGCAUGGUUGUCGUCAGCUCGUGCCGUGAGGUGUCGGGUUAAGUCCCAUAACGAGCGCAACCCCUAUCGCCAGUUGCCAGCACAUAAUGGUGGGAACUCUGGUGAAACUGCCGGUGCAAACCGUGAGGAAGGUGGGGAUGACGUCAAAUCAGCACGGCCCUUAUGUCCAGGGCUACACACGUGUUACAAUGGUCGGUACAACAGGAAGCCAAUCCGCAAGGAUGAGCUAAUCCCUAAAGCCGAUCUUAGUUCGGAUCGGAGUCUGCAAUUCGACUCCGUGAAGUUGGAUUCGCUAGUAAUCGCAGAUCAGCCAUGCUGCGG
rnacentral:rRNA from 1 species